UACGGAGGGUGCAAGCGUUAUCCGGAUUCACUGGGUUUAAAGGGUGCGUAGGUGGGUCUGUAAGUCCGUGGUGAAAUCUCCGAGCUUAACUUGGAAACUGCCAUGGAUACUAUAGGUCUUGAAUACUGUGGAGGUCAGCGGAAUAUGUCAUGUAGCGGUGAAAUGCUUAGAUAUGACAUAGAACACCAAUUGCGAAGGCAGCUGGCUACACAAAUAUUGACACUGAUGCACGAAAGCGUAGGGAUCAAACAGG
rnacentral:rRNA from 1 species